AAGUCUUGACAUGCCGUUGACGUACCCGUAACGGGGUAUUUCCCUCGGGACAACGGACACAGGUGGUGCAUGGUUGUCGUCAGCUCGUGUCGUGAGAUGUUGGGUUAAGUCCCGCAACGAGCGCAACCCUUGUCCUUAGUAGCCAGCAGUAAGAUGGGGACUCUAAGGAGACAGACGGAGAUAAUCCGGAGGAAGAUGGGGAUGACGUCAAAUCAUCAUGCCCCUUAUGAUUUGGGCUACACACGUGCUACAAUGGCGUAAACAAAGAGAAGCAAGAGUGCGAGCUUAAGCAAAUCUCAAAAAUAACGUCUCAGUUCGGAUUGCAGGCUGCAACUCGCCUGCAUGAAGCCGGAAUCGCUAGUAAUCGCAGAUCAGCAUGCUGCGGUGAAUACGUUCCCGGGUC
rnacentral:rRNA from 1 species